rnacentral:lncRNA from 1 species
UUUGCAGUCCUUUGCUCUAACCGGCUAAGCAUCAUCGGCUUGGUCAACCUUUACCUAACCAACUGGCAACUACCUACCUGAUCGCUCACUUUUCCGGGCCGGGAUCAAUAAGUAGAAGUCAUAAAAAGAUAUGUUUGUAUAUCGGCUGUAAAUGGUAACUUGUUUGUAGCGGAAUUAUCGUGGAAAAGUUGAGGAAUUUUGUAAUGUUA